CUGAACCCAAACCACUUGAAAGACAUGGACUGCAGUGAGGGCCAUGUAAUUUUGGCGAAUUACUAUCCACCAUGUCCCCAGCCAGAAAUAACAUUGGGCUUAAACAAGCAUGCAGACGGUGAUUUCUGUACAGUGCUUCUACAAGACCAUAUUGGUGGUCUCCAAGUUCUCCAUCAGAAUCAGUGGAUUGAUGUCCCUCCCAGGCCAGGGGCUCUGGUGGUUAACAUUGGAGACCUUCUACAGCU
rnacentral:misc_RNA from 1 species